rnacentral:misc_RNA from 1 species
AAGUCGUAACAAGGUUUCCGUAGGUGAACCUGCGGAAGGAUCAUUAACACGUAUCCAACGUUAAACAACCCUGUACGCGGAACAGCAAUCCCGGUAAAUCAAUUGGAGAAAAGGUUUUGAUUCGGGACCUCUGUCCAUCAGGCUACAAUCGAGCUAGGAGCAGUGGCAUGGUUUCCCUAAGCAGUGCAGAAGGAUCCACUGAGUAAGGAUAACGCCUCACGGUUGCCAGAGGUCGAUCACCGGCCGGCAGACAUGUCACAGGGCUAUAUGCCCCCUCAUUCACACCUUGCCCUAUCUGGCCCCACGGAAACGUUGGGGCACAAACCGAACAACUGUUAACAAUGGAUAUCUUGGUUCUC